UGGGGAAUAUUGGACAAUGGGGGGAACCCUGAUCCAGCCAUGCCGCGUGUGUGAAGAAGGCCUUAUGGUUGUAAAGCACUUUAAGCGAGGAGGAGGGUACUGGUAUUAAUACUACCAGCUACUGGACGUUACUCGCAGAAUAAGCACCGGCUAACUCUGUGCCAGCAGCCGCGGUAAUACAGAGGGUGCGAGCGUUAAUCGGAUUUACUGGGCGUAAAGCGUGCGUAGGCGGCUAAUUGAGUCGGAUGUGAAAUCCCCGAGCUUAACUUGGGAAUUGCAUUCGAUACUGGUUAGCUAGAGUGUGGGAGAGGAUGGUAGAAUUCCAGGUGUAGCGGUGAAAUGCGUAGAGAGCUGGAGGAAUACCGAUGGCGAAGGCAGCCAUCUGGCCUAACACUGACGCUGAGGUGCGAAAGCGUGGGGAGCAAACAGG
rnacentral:rRNA from 1 species